rnacentral:rRNA from 1 species
UACGAAGGGGGCUAGCGUUGCUCGGAAUCACUGGGCGUAAAGCGCACGUAGGCGCUUCUUAAGUCGGGGGUGAAAUCCUGGAGCUCAACUCCAGAACUGCCUUCGAUACUGGAGAGCUCGAGUCCGGGAGAGGUGAGUGGAACUGCGAGUGUAGAGGUGAAAUUCGUAGAUAUUCGCAAGAACACCAGUGGCGAAGGCGGCUCACUGGCCCGGUACUGACGCUGAGGUGCGAAAGCGUGGGGAGCAAACAGG